ACUACAUCCUCCUGGUGUUGUUCUAUUAAUUACUGUAACAUAUAGAGGAGUAUCAUGAAUUUUAGUGAAUUCCAUCCUGCUUCAUAUAAGCUUGGCUACACCAAAAACAUUUCCGAGGCCAAUCCAAGGCAGAAGAGGUAAUAAUAGAGAUAAAAUAAUAGAGAAAAUAAGUUACUUUUUUCAUCCUUGUCUUCUAAAGACUCCAGAUCCUGUCUUAUCUUUGAAAAGAAGCAGGGUCAGCCCUAGUUAGUACUUGGGCUAACUAGGAAACUGCCAAUAAAUGCCAGGUUAUUUAGCCUGUAUUUCAGGUAAAGGAACUGAAAUACAUCACUGAAGAUUCCUUGCCUAAGAAAACCCUAUGAAAUUCUUGAGGUCACUAUAAUUUAACAACCAACUUGAAGGCACACACAUACAUACAGUGAAUAAUUUUUUUUAUCAUGUCUGAAGUGAAUAGUCACUUCUGGUGUGAGAUAAUCGGCCAUCUACACAGAUGUUGCCCAGGGGACGCCCAGAUGUUUUACCAUCCUGUGGGAGGCUUCUGUCAUGUCCCCGCAUGGGAAGCUGGGGCUGACAGAUGGGAACUCACCCCUUCUCGUGGAUUUAAACUCAGGUCAGGAGUUCAGCCAACAGAAGAGUUUAACUCAUGUGCCACCACAGCUCCACAAUGGGUAAUGUCAGUGGGUUAUAUUUGAAAUGCUGUAAUGAAUAAUGGAAAAAACUAACUUUCUGAGAUGGAGCAAGCCCAGUGCACUUCCCAAAGCAUUCCCCAUUCCCUUAAUGCACCCUCCCACCAGCACAAUCCAGUUUUAUAAUCAUUGGAAAAUCAUUGAUUUUAAAUCAUUGGAUAAGGAAGGGAGGGCAAAAAAAUAUUAUGAUCAAUAGCAGGAUUUAGCCUCUUGGGAUGGACUUUUGUGAAAUCAAUGCCAGAAAUCACGGCAGUCCUAUAUGUAUGUACCUGGAAGAAAGUAAUAUAGAACAGAGUUGGGUUUGCUUCUGAGUAGGCAUGGCUAGAAUUGCAUUAAUAUCUAUGUAUUUAUCUGGCUGGCUAGCUGGCAGCUGCCUCCAUUGUUGCUGUUUCUUUGAAACCUGUUGCUGUCAGUGUCCUCACCAGGUACCAGAUUUUAACAUUUGUUCCUCAAAUUAUGUGGUAAUUACAGGUGAAACACACAGUCACUCCUUGUAUUAUGGUUUAUUUAACUAGGAGCUCGCAAAAAUAUUUUAUAGCACAACAUAAAGUAAUUCGGUAUGUGUAUCAUUUGAACACAGAUGAAACCUAGGAAAUAGUUGUAGAUGCUAAAUCUGCAGAUGCUUUAUAUGAAUUAUGGUAGUUUGCAAUUGUUCGGAAUCACCACCACCUUUGCAGUUAUUAGUUACUGUAAUGAAAAUGCAUAGCAAUUUGGUCUGUAAGUAUUCGUAAUUGUAAGAAUAUUAUGUAGAGCAUUUUCUUAUCCACAAUGUCCAAAGGCAAAGUAAUAAAAAUAGCAUUUUGAAACCAAGGUUGCUUUAAUAAAAACAGCACAAUUCCAAUAAAUUAGCACAGCCUGAACACUAUUUCUUCCUACAUAGUUGCAAGGAGAUGUAGAUUUGAUGCUGCUGUAACCUUUCUAUCCUUGAGCUAGAAAGCAUCAUGAGGAAAUUAAAAGCAGAGAUCAGUAAUGGGAGAACAUGGUGCUCCAUUUUGUAUAAUUGCACUGAUGCAGAGGAAUUAGAGCUUUUGGAACACUAUGUGAAAAAAAGCAUGACUGGACAUUCUUUAAAUGAUUCUCAUUUCUGGUAGCUUGAGUUUGUUUACUCCACAAACUAAAAGACCUUAACACUCAAACUGACCCUAACUUAAUAUGACUUAUGAAUGUCCCAGCAGCAGAUUUAGAAUUGAUUUAGUGUGACACCCAAAAUAAUAAUAUUCGGGGCAAAAUAGAAGAGGAAAAAGGUAAAAUAAAAUCCAUCCUUUCAUUUAAAACAUUUAUAAAUGUAGCUGAAUUAAAUUUAGCUACAGGGAAAAUCGGGAUUCAAACAGACCGUCUGAGUUGGUUAUGCUAAAAUGACAUGAGAACACCUAUUAGCUUGAGAAUUAGAAACUGGAUUUCUGUAAGAGGGUGUCAAUACAAUUCUAAUUUGUAAAAUUAGUACAGUGCUGAUGAUGAGUGGUAUGGGUCACUAGCAUUACUGAUGUAUGAGAGGUAGGGUCCUUGGUAUCUGCUGUGGGUUGGUUCCAGGAUCUCCUCUCAUGACUACCAAAAUUCACAGAUUCUUAAGUUCAUCAUCCUCAAUGAUGUAAUAAAAAGAUAUCCCUAUAUAAUAUGGCAACAAUCGUCUUGCUUUUCGGAUAUCCUCCUCCAUCUCUAUUCGCAUUACACAAGCAUAAUUACUUUCUGUGGGGAAAAGCAUCAUUACAUACAGCCACGUGUUCUUUCUCUUGUAGACCCAAUGAAUUUGUGAUAUACUGAAUGUUGUCUCUCUUGUACCAUUCAGUAACUCUUGUUUAAGCAUAAACAAAUUCUAACUUUAUUCACACACUAGCCUUCUUUAUUAUUUUGUUUUCAAAAAUGUAUCUCUUUCUGACUUAUAACCAAUUCCUUAUUUGCUUGCUUUUACAAUCUAGCUCAAUAUUUUUCUCUAUAACAUUCCUUUCUUUGAACUCAUUUGAGAACUGCUGGCCACAUUACACAGAAAACUAAAUAAAAGAGCAGUCCUUCUCCCUUAGGCAUAUCCCCCUUUUGGCCUUCUUACUUUUCAUCAAACAUAUUCAACAACAAAAAAGGAUAAUUCCAGAUGCUUCUAUUAUUGACUUGGGCUAGGAUGGAGCUGACUUGCAUGACUAUGCAUAAUUGUUUAACAGGCAAAACCUACCAUUGGCAUUAGUGGACCUUGGGAAAUUAUUUUUGCACAAUAACUCCUAGAAUCUCACUGGGUAUACUAGGAGUUGCAGUCAAAACAGCAUUUCCGAGCUGUGGACAGUGAAUGGUUGCCUCAAGUUUCAGAUGCUGUGAGACAAGAGCAAGGCGGCAGCAGAGACCUUGCUGUUGCCAUGCAGUUUGACCUAAGCUCACCCUAAAUAGCCUACUGUGGAUCAGAUGUAGCAGAGGAUCCUAUCCCAUUGCCAGUGUCAAGUGUGAAAGCAGGCAUGCUGGAUAAUGUGUAGCAUGCUUAAUGCUAGGAUUAAAACCCGUUAAUAUUCAGCUUGUUUUAGAAGCAAGACAAAAUGGCUUUCACUCUGGAAAUGCGGCUUCAAUCAGUUAGGGAUAGAGAACAAGUAUAACAUAACCUGUAUUAUGGUAGACAACAGAAAUUGAUACAACAGAAUUUCACUGUGGGUUUCACUGAUUUUAGAAGAGAAUAUAAUGGGAUAGUAAUCUCCACAUUCCACAUUGAUGGGGGAUACAUUAAGGUAGCCUUUCUAAAACCUGGAGCCCUUCCAAUGAAUAGGAGUUCCCAUCAUCUUCAGCCAGCUCUGUGUAGCCCGUCACGCGUGGAGGGUGCUCUGUUGAGGUAGGGUGCACCAAGGGCAUCUGUAGCUUGGAGUACUUUUCAUAAAUGUAAGUCUAUGUGAUGCCUCAUGGGCCUUGUAGUCCUGUUCCUAGUACUAUUGUGGCAGAUGAAGAUGAAAACAUGGGGUUUUCGCCGGUUCAACAAGAGCUGGAGUCUCUUCACCUGCCGGAUGUUGACGUUUGCCCUCAAGAAUUCAGUAAACCAGGCCUUGGGCAGUACUCCCCUCCGUUUCCCAGGAAGGAAUCUUAUUCUAAAGACAGAGGAGUCAGAGAAGCUAAUCGGAGAAGUCUAAGAAUCGCUGCCAAACAAACAGGCUGAUUAGGCCUGCUUCCCUUGGGAAAAUCUAAGGAGUCUUGCAUCUGGACAGAGUUGGGUUUUGCUUCUUGUUCUCUAGGGAAAGAGAUUGUUGGAGGGAAAACGAGACCCAAUAUAGGGGUUUGGCGCGAGAGAUUCUUUGCGGAGUCAAUUGAUCAGCUUCAGGAGAGAGUUCGUGUGUGGACUUCGUAACCCCAGUUCCUUGCUUCCCGGAUCGAGUUUCAAGCCUUGCCUUGCUGUUAACCACGGAUCCUGCUCCAUGCUUCACGUUUUGCCUUGUCUCCAGUCACGGACCUAGCCAAGAAUCAAGUUUAUUUCCAGCCUUGUUGUCAAGCUUCAUUGGACUUUAAGACUCUGACAUUUCCCCACACUAUUGCUUGGCAAGAGUGUGUGUUUCGGUCAAGUGGAUUAAAACUUUGAACUCUAAUAUCAUUUAUUGGACAAUACAUUUUUGGACUAUAUUUGACCUCUUUUGAAAGGUCUGUUUCUGAACUAUAUUCUUCACUUGUUUUUAUUGAUUUUAUAUAUUUCUUUAAUAAAGAUAUUAGAUAGAGA